GUCUAAUGUCAUUUCCUUUAGUAUUUCUUGGAAGGCAGGUCUGCUAGCAACAUAUUCUCUCAAUUUUUGCUUAUCUGCAAAUAUCUUUAUUUCACCUUCAUCUUUGAAGGCUAGUUUCACUGGAUAUAGAAUUCAUGGUUGACCUGCUUUUCUUUUUUCUUUCAGCGCCUCAAAUGUGUCAUUCCACUACCCUCUUUUGUUUCUGAGGAGAAAUCACUUCUUUGAAGUUUUUGUUUGUUAAACCUAACAUCUGGACCCCACUCAGACCUGUCUCCAUGUAUCAAGUGGCCCUAUAUAAGCAGUCACAUGGAGAGAACUGCAGCUUCCUGCCAACAGCCAUGUAAGUGAAUAUCGUGUUGGCUGCAGAUCCUCUAUCCCCAUUCAAGCCUUCGGAUGAUGACAGACACAGCUGACAUCUUAAUUAUAACCUCAUGAAAGACUCUGAGCCAAAACCACCCUGCUAGUCUACUCCUGAAUUCUUGACUUAAAGAAACUACGUGAGACAAUAAAUGUUUAUUGUUGUUUUAAACCA
rnacentral:lncRNA from 1 species